GCCGAGGUGGAGAAAUUGGUAUACUCGCAGUCUUCAGAAGGCUGUUUCCGCAAGGAAGUGUGGGUUCGACUCCCAUCCUCGGCA
rnacentral:tRNA from 1 species